rnacentral:rRNA from 1 species
AUUGAACGCUGGCGGCAUGCCUAACACAUGCAAGUCGAACGAGUGGCGGACGGGUGAGUAAUAUAUCGGAACGUGCCUAAUAGCGCGGGAUAACUACUGGACACAGUGGCUAAUACCGCAUACCAUUAGACCUGCCGAGAUGGGACUAGCUAGUUGGUGGGGUACAGGCUCACCAAGGCGACGAUCCUUAGCUGGUAUGAGAGGAGGACCAGCAACACUGGAACUGAGACACGGCCCAGACUCCUACGGGAGGCAGCAGUGGGGAAUUUUGGACAAUGGACGAAAGCCUGAUGCAGCCAAGCCGCGUGUAUGAAGAAGUCCUUCGGGGUGUAAAGUACUAUUGGCAGAGAAGCGGUAUCUGCAGAAGAAGCACCGGCUAACUCCGUGCCAGCAGCCGCGGUAAUUC